rnacentral:rRNA from 1 species
UGGGGAAUAUUACGCAAUGGGCGAAAGCCUGACGCAGCAACGCCGUGUGAGGGAUGAAGGCUUUCGGGUCGUAAACCUCUGUCGGAAGGGAAGAACGGGCAUUGGUCUAAUAGGCCUUUGUUUUGACGGUACCUUUAGAGGAAGCACCGGCUAACUCCGUGCCAGCAGCCGCGGUAAUACGGAGGGUGCAAGAGUUAUUCGGAAUUACUGGGCGUAAAGCGCACGUAGGCGGCUUUGUAAGUCAGGGGUGAAAUCCCACGGCUCAACCGUGGAACUGCCUUUGAAACUGCAGAGCUUGAAUCCUGGAGAGGGUGGCGGAAUUCCUGGUGUAGGAGUGAAAUCCGUAGAUAUCAGGAGGAACACCGGUGGCGAAGGCGGCCACCUGUACAGGUAUUGACGCUGAGGUGCGAAAGUGUGGGGAGCAAACC